rnacentral:rRNA from 1 species
UUAACACAUGCAAGUCGAGGGGCAGCAUUUUAUUUUGCUUGCAAACUGAAGAUGGCGACCGGCGCACGGGUGAGUAACACGUAUCCAACCUGCCGAUAACUCCGGAAUAGCCUUUCGAAAGAAAGAUUAAUACCGGAUAGCAUACGAAUAUCGCAUGAUAUUUUUAUUAAAGAAUUUCGGUUAUCGAUGGGGAUGCGUUCCAUUAGUUUGUUGGCGGGGUAACGGCCCACCAAGACUACGAUGGAUAGGGGUUCUGAGAGGAAGGUCCCCCACAUUGGAACUGAGACACGGUCCAAACUCCUACGGGAGGCAGCAGUGAGGAAUAUUGGUCAAUGGGCGAGAGCCUGAACCAGCCAAGUAGCGUGAAGGAUGAAGGCUCUAUGGGUCGUAAACUUCUUUUAUAUGGGAAUAAAGUUUUCCACGUGUGGAAUUUUGUAUGUACCAUAUGAAUAAGGAUCGGCUAACUCCGUGCCAGCAGCCGCGGUAAUACGGAGGAUCCGAGCGUUAUCCGGAUUUAUUGGGUUUAAAGGGAGCGUAGGUGGAUUGUUAAGUCAGUUGUGAAAGUUUGCGGCUCAACCGUAAAAUUGCAGUUGAAACUGGCAGUCUUGAGUACAGUAGAGGUGGGCGGAAUUCGUGGUGUAGCGGUGAAAUGCUUAGAAAUCACGAAGAACUCCGAUUGCGAAGGCAGCUCACUAGACUGUCACUGACACUGAUGCUCGAAAGUGUGGGUAUCAAACAGGAUUAGAUACCCUGGUAGUCCACACAGUAAACGAUGAAUACUCGCUGUUUGCGAUAUACAGUAAGCGGCCAAGCGAAAGCAUUAAGUAUUCCACCUGGGGAGUACGCCGGCAACGGUGAAACUCAAAGGAAUUGACGGGGGCCCGCACAAGCGGAGGAACAUGUGGUUUAAUUCGAUGAUACGCGAGGAACCUUACCCGGGCUUAAAUUGCAACAGAAUAUAUUGGAAACAGUAUAGCCGUAAGGCUGUUGUGAAGGUGCUGCAUGGUUGUCGUCAGCUCGUGCCGUGAGGUGUCGGCUUAAGUGCCAUAACGAGCGCAACCCUUAUCUUUAGUUACUAACAGGUCAUGCUGAGGACUCUAGAGAGACUGCCGUCGUAAGAUGUGAGGAAGGUGGGGAUGACGUCAAAUCAGCACGGCCCUUACGUCCGGGGCUACACACGUGUUACAAUGGGGGGUACAGAAGGCGGCUACCUGGUGACAGGAUGCUAAUCCCAAAAACCUCUCUCAGUUCGGAUCGAAGUCUGCAACCCGACUUCGUGAAGCUGGAUUCGCUAGUAAUCGCGCAUCAGCCAUGGCGCGGUGAAUACGUUCCCGGGCCUUGUACACACCGCCCGUCAAGCCAUGAAAGCCGGGGGUACCUGAAGUACGUAACCGCAAGGAGCGUCCUAGGGUAAAACUGGUAAUUGGGGCU